UACGUAGGCGGAAAAUUAAGUCAGUAGUGAAAUCCUGCAGCUUAACUGUAGAACUGUUAUUGAUACAGGUUUUCUUGAAUUUAGUUGAGGUAGGCGGAAUGUGUAAUGUAGCGGUGAAAUGCUUAGAUAUUACACAGAACACCGAUUGCGAAGGCAGCUUACUAAGCUAUGAUUGACGCUGAGGUACGAAAGCGUGGGGAGCGAACAGGAUUAGAUACCCUGGUAGUCC
rnacentral:rRNA from 1 species